rnacentral:rRNA from 1 species
GACGAACGCUGGCGGCGUGCUUAAUACAUGCAAGUCGAGCGAGGUCCAUCUGGUGGCAACACCAGUGAAGGCCGAGCGGCGAACGGGUGAGUAACACGUGAGCAACCUGCCCCGAAGUCUGGAAUAACAUCGGGAAACCGGUGCUAAUACCGGAUCGCCCCACCUCGACCGCCAUGAGUCGGGUGGAGGAAAGGAUUUAUUCGCGUUCGGGAGGGGGCGUCGCGGCCGUAUCAGCUAGUUGGUGAGGUAACGGCUCACCAAGG